CCUACGGGUGGCAGCAGUGAGGAAUAUUGGUCAAUGGGCGCGAGCCUGAACCAGCCAAGUAGCGUGAAGGAUGACUGCCCUACGGGUUGUAAACUCCUUUUAUAAAGGAAUAAAGUGAGGCACGUGUGCCUUUUUGUAUGUACUUUAUGAAUAAGGAUCGGCUAACUCCGUUCCAGCAGCCGCGGUAAUACAGAGGAUCCGAGCGUUAUCCGGAUUUAUUGGGUUUAAAGGGAGCGUAGAUGGGUUGUUAAGUCGGUUGUGAAAGUUUGCGGCUCAACCGUAAAAUUGCAAUUGAUACUGGCAGUCUUGAGUACAGGUGAGGUAGGCGGAAUUCGUGGUGUAGCGGUGAAAUGCUUAGAUAUCGCGAAGAACUCCGAUUGCGAAGGCAGCUUACUAAACUGCCACUGACAUUGAGGCUCGAAAGUGUGGGGAGCAAACGGGAUUAGAUACCCCUGUAGUC
rnacentral:rRNA from 1 species